ACCCUCUCAGGGUAGCAUCUGGAGAGUUUCCAGUACUCUACCAGUCUCAGCUAUGGGAGGGAGAGCCAAGCGGAGGCCUAUCCAUUCCAUUCCUAACUUGGCCAGUGGCUAGUUAGUGAAAGGCGAUCUGCUACAAGU